CUCAGAGGCGCUCUGACUCCAUUCACUCCAGAGUCCUACACAGUUAAGGACCUGUGCAGACUGCUGCAAGACAGACUCUGGAUAGCACAGCACGGACAACUUUCUCCCCUGUGAUUUUUCUCCCCAAGAGGAUCUGCACGUUUGGAUUAUAUUUCUCCACGACUAUUAAAUACCAUCAUAGAAAAAAAGUCUUAAUUCUGUUUAAGUUGAACAGCCGCGCUUCUUGCUUGAUAUUUCACUAAAGUGGGGGUGAAGUUUGAAGCUUGUUUUGUUUAGAGGGUGAAGGACAAGUGCAAUGCGCUUCAGACUUGUCUCAUGGGAAUGUCCCACUUGCGCUUGAGGAGCUAUGCCGAGCUGCCGCACAGAUCUUGUUCAAGAGGACGCAGUCCAAUGUGAAUAAGUCAGCGUCCAGCCUGUUCAGCCCUUUUUCACAGUUAGAAGCAAGUGCAAGACGGAGUCUGAUUGAGCCCGCGUAGCAAGCUCUGACACCCCGGCUCCUCUCCCAGAGGGGAUGGUUGUGGAUCCUGUGGGGCCAGGAGCGAUUCUGCGGCUCCUACAGAACACCACCUUUUUCUUGUUCGGGGUUAAAUCUAAAUUAAAGGGAGAUGAGAGCCGCACUUUGUUACUUCCUGCUGUGGACGACGUACCUGCUGCAGGCCACCUCUGAGGAAGUGGAGUUUCCCCAGGAGCUGAUAGACAGACUGUCCCACAGUGAAAUCCACAGCAUCAGCGACCUCCAGCGGCUACUGGACAUUGACUCCGUAGGUACGGGAAACAAUGUCAUCGAGGAGCCCAAGCACCACAAGCACCACAACCACCAUAAGAACUACUCCCAUCAUCAUGGUUACUACAAUGACCUGAAGAGCUCCCAGCUCCACAGCCGACGCAAGAGGAGCAUUGUGGAGGAGGCGGUCCCGGCGGUGUGUAAGACGCGGACGGUGAUCUACGAGAUCCCCAGGAGCCAGGUGGAUCCCACGUCUGCCAACUUCCUGAUAUGGCCGCCCUGUGUGGAGGUGAAGCGAUGCACGGGCUGCUGCAACACGAGCAACAUGCGCUGCCACCCUUCCCGCAAGCACCACCGCACCGUUAAGGUGGCGAAGGUGGAGUACGUGAGGAGGAGACCCAAGCUGAAAGAGGUCUUUGUGCGGUUAGAAGACCACCUGGAGUGCGUGUGCACGUCACAACAUCAUGUGGCGGAGCACUCGGAUGCAGAAACAGGCCACCGUAGGGCUAAAGGUAACAAAAGGAAACCUAAAAAGCUAAAGCCCAGCAAGGAUUUAUUGGCGACCUAAUAAAGUUGCACUCAUUGCCCAAAGUCCACUGGAAAGCUGUGAAGGGAACAGUGGACGUGAGGUGAGAUCAAUCAGACCAAGGGACUUCAGCGUGGGAGGGACUGAAAUAGAGGACGCCGCCAACAGGAGACCUGCUCUGUCCUCUUCCCCACUGCCAUGCCACCUUCGUUUUAAAAAGACAAACUUUUCUGUUAAGACGAGAGACUGAAAAUAGACAGACAACAAUAAAUAAAAUGCCAAAGGUGCUUUUUAAAAACAGUAACCAGUGAUGAUGACUUCCUCUGUGGUACGCCACCCACCCAGACAACUAAACCCUGCCGCUGAUUAAGAGGAAAAAGAGAAAGAUGCUGUAGAGCUCGGGCAGGGCAGAAAGAGGCCGAAGGGAGAUGAUGAAAGGGAUUUGUGUUGAACAUUUUGACAGACUUUGUUUGCAUAAGACGCACAACAGAAACGGCGAUGAAACAGCUGGAUCAAGCAUUCGUGGGAAUCUGGUGCUCAGACUCCAAAACAGCGGUGGACGACCUCCAGCUGGGCAACAUAAAAGUGCCCUGCCCUGGUUAAGUGACUCUUGCAUACACAGGAAGAAAAAUAAAGGAAAAAACAAUGGAAAGAGAGAGAUGGAGGUGUUUCUUUGUCAAAAGACUAUGGAGUAUCAAACAUUUUGAGUUUGUGGAUGUUUGCUCUGAGUAAAAAGGAAAUCUUCCGACACCUCUGGUGGUCUGUGACUUUGCCCACUUGCUGUGUACAGUUUAAUUUGAAAAGGAAGAUGCGACGCUACUUACAAACUAUUUAUACGUGUGGACGUUUGCUUUCUGUCUCUUCCAGUACAAAGAAAGAACAAAAAGGAUGUUUUAAUGAUCUUGGAGACAUGCAAGAGUUCUGUGUGGUCUGGUUUUUUGUAACCAUCAGUAUCACAAUCUCAAUUUUUUUUUUUUUUAGUCAAUGUUAUUGUUGUCAUCCAUGUUUCUUAUUAUAUUACAGUAUAUCUGAAUGAUGUCAAGUCUUGUAUAUGGUUUGGAUAUAUGUGUGCAAGGAGGAGAUGUGAGAGUCAGUACAGGAAGAUGCUUUAUUUUUGUUAUGAAAUAUAUUAAGCUUACUUAUAUUCGAGCAGGAAUUAUGUUUAUUUCUGUUGUUGUGGUUGAAUGCCUGUAUUUAAUCCAUUGGAAGAGAUGCAAAAAUGGGGGCAGGGGGUGGAGGGAGACGAGGGAGAGAAGGCUGCCAGUGCUUGUUGUGUCAGAGUGGCUCAAACAUGGCGACUUCAUAGUGAGUCGCCUUGGCGUAGCUUAUUCUGCAGCCAUGAGAAGCACUGCCAAAGAGUGGCAACAAGUGGCGUUUCACAAAAACAUGCAAACAGCACGUUAAAGCGUGUUCAUGCCGAUCACACAAAACAUGUUAGAGCAACUCCAGUGUGCAUGUAUGUGUGUGUGUGCACUGCACAUGAGGCUAUUUUUCACCUAUAUCACUCUCAACAUUGAUAAGGAAGAUGCCAGCCCGCUCUGCUUCACAAGCAUACAUGCUGUGCCUGCAAAGAGCAAAGUCCACCUUAAAGAGUGAAUGAGCAAGCAAAGCAAAUCGACAAGUGCAUGAAUGGGCUCCUUGUUUGGCCAGGCUUUACUCGUCUGUUGACAGGAGAACAAAUCUCUGAUCGCUCCACACUGUGAAGGUCCUCACACCUUGUGCAGCCACAUACCAUCAGGACAGAUGAUGAUGAUGAGUGCUCUGCGGAGGUGGCCUGAAAACAGUACGGCACUGGCUUGAACCCGUGCCCCCCCGAUGGAACAAACAAUUACUUCCUUACCCUUUCCUGUAACAGUGAUGAAUGUGUAACCAGGCCGACGCAGUGCAAAAACAACAGUUGUCCUCCAACCCGUGUUCAAAGGAGGAAGUCAAAGGCGAAAGAGUGAGUCACCGUGCACUGUGAAGUGAGUCAAGUGAAAGUCAAAUGAGGAGUGUUUGAUUGAAACAUGGCACAGAUUACACACACACACACACACACACACACACACACACACACACACACACACACACACACGCACGCAGCCCACCUGUGAAUUUACCAUCAGCUGACUGGUGCUAUAUUUAUAAGGCUAAUGUUUCAUCACUGUUCACAUUCACAUCGAUGUAAGAUAGCGCUCUCAGUAAACCAGGGACCACGCUUAGAGCUAUUUGAUUACAGAAAAUGCCAUUACGCUAUCACCAAGCCUUCAUUACUUUUCUUCUGGGCUUCCAUUGGAUAAAGACAGCAGUAAUCAUAAUUUAUAUAUUUAUGUUUUCAACAAUAAAUAUAUUUCUGCUUAUGAAACUGUU